UACGGAGGGUGCAAGCGUUGUCCGGAAUCACUGGGCGUAAAGGGCGCGUAGGCGGCCUGGUAAGUAGGGGGUGAAAUCCUGCGGCUUAACCGCAGGGCUGCCUUCUAAACUGUCAGGCUUGAGCACGGUAGAGGCAGAUGGAAUUCCCGGUGUAGCGGUGGAAUGCGUAGAUAUCGGGAGGAACACCAGUGGCGAAGGCGGUUGCCUGGGGCUUUGCUGACGCUGAGGCGCGAAAGCGUGGGGAGCGAUCCGG
rnacentral:rRNA from 1 species